AUAGGCGCUUUAGUCACUCACACCUUCGAUUGCCCUGCUCGCUCACCCACAAAAGUGAGCAAAAGUGGGACUAGAGACUGAGGACAAACGGACAGAUAUACGACACAGACACAGACACAGUCCUGACUGUGAAUCCGGAAGAUGCCCCUUUGUCCCUGCGCUGGGCUUACACAAAGAGUUCAGGGAAGACUCAAGAGUAAGUACGCAGUGGAUUCCUGAGUAGAUCUAGAAAAAACAUUCACACUCAAGUUUACUCCUGGAUAUCUCUCUUCUUUUCCAUAGCCCUACACGUUGAAAAUAGGAGGACAGAAGCUCGCACAUUUAAUAGGGAUGGAUCACUCUCGGAAAAGACGCAUUCAAGAUGCUCUAGCUUUAGCCAUACUGACGUCGUUUUAAAUUUGGAUGGCAAGGAUCAGUUCUCUCUUUGUUUUCUGCAUCUCCCUAGAGUCAUCUUUUUAAUCCCAUUCUUGGAACUUGCUUCUUAGAAGUGAAGGGGCUUGGUGAAAGCAGAGAGGGGAAGCCACAUUUGAAAGGCUUUUUGCUGCAGAUGGGUUGCUGUGCAAAUGGGUGUGGACCUCCAUAAGGUUGAGGGUUAAGGACCAGUAAGCAGGCUCACACAGAAGCCUGUGUAGAGCAAAUUUUGUUUUUUCAGUCUUUUGAAACACUCUAGUAGUACCUUUAGUGUGUGUGUGUGUGUGUGUGUGUGUGUGUGUGUGUGUGUGUCUGUGUCUGUGUCUGUGUCUGUGUUACAUGUCCACCACAGCACCCUGUGUAGGUCAGAUGACAAUUUACUCUCUCCUACCAUGUGGUACCCAGGGACUAAAAUCAGGUCACCAGGUUGGUGGCAAUACGUGCUGAGCAAGCUCACUGAUGCCUUCUGUAAGUUCUUAAGGAAGUAAGUUUGAUGUAUCAUAUAUAGUGAGACACAUUUCCUAGAUAUUUUGUCAAACAUUUUUCUGUAUGUUUAUAUAAGGGUAGUUGCACAUGAAACAAAUUUGUAUUGGUGGACAUUCUGCCUUCCUAGGUAUGUAUAAACCCAAGCCAGUACUUGAAAACUCAAAUAGAAUAAUGGAUGAGCUCCCUCGGCAA
ensembl:lncRNA